GUCCAAGUGUGUUUGUAAACUUGUCAGUAAUUUGUUUUUGUGUUUAUUUUUAGAGGCAGGUACCGGAUUCACCUGUGAAACGUUCGGAGGUCAUCAAGCUGGCUGCCCUGAAAAGUCCUGUAUUAGCAGUAGGAUAAAUUUGGCUAUUUUAAUUGAUUUAUGUGUCCACAUUGCUAAGGUUAAACGAAACUUAAAAUGGGUUGGGACCUUGCUAGUGCUUAUCACUGGUUUAAAGCGGUAAAAGUAAAUUGGGCUUAGUUUUAAUGGACAUUUGUCUGUCCAUUGAGGGGGAAAAGUUUGUGGUAAAUUCUGUUCCUCCUAUGGAGUUAUUUCUGUCCAUUGCAACAAAUGUCAAGUUGACCGUAGUGUCAGAUUGGCCACUAAAACAAAUAAACUGCUGCAGCUGUGUAAACAUUGUGUAAGACAAAACAUAAGAUAUUAAUUGCAGAACAUAAGUCAUAAAUCAUAUAAUAACUGCAUAGAAAUAAGGAAGAGACAUAGAAAUAAGGAAGAGACAAUUUUUCCAAUAACACUCCCCCCUUUUGAUUACACAUUAAUCAAACCAUAAAAGAAUAAAAAUUGUCCCUACGCUGUUCAGCCUCCAGUCCAGCCGCGCGCUGUUCAGCCUCCAGUCCAGCCGCGCGCUGUUCAGCCUCCAGCCCAGCCGCGCGCUGUUUAGUCUCCAGCCCAGUCGAGCCCAGUCCAGGUCCCAGCCCAGUCGAGUGUUAGUCACACCCAAUCAGGCCCGGCGUCUAGUCCGUCGAGCUCGGCAGCUGCAAGUAGUCAUGCCGGCUCCGGAGGGGACGUCGUCCCAGUCCCUGUCGGCCAUGUUGCGGCCGUUCCUGUCGGCCCCGUAGCGACCGUUCCAGCCCCCGUUCCUGUCGGCCCCGUAGAGGUCGUCCUAGCCCCCGUCCCUGUCGGCCCCGUAGAGGUCGUCCUAGCCCCCGUCUCUGUCGGCCCCGUAGAGGUCGUCCUAGCCCCCAUCCCUGUCAGCCUCGGAGUAGCAGUUCCCGCCGACCUCCAGGAGGAGGCCGCGCCAGCUGGAGUUGCUGCCGCGGUUCACGCCGACCUCCAGGAGGAGGUCGCGCCCGCUGCAGCUCCUGCGGGCCUCCAGGAGGGGGUCGCUCCUGCAGCAGCGCCUGCCGCAGCACCUGCUGCAGUCCCUGCCGGCCUCCCGGAGGGGGUCGGUCCAGCUCUGUCUCCUGCCGGCCUCCCGGAGGGGGUCGGUCCAGCUCUGUCUCCUGCCGCCCUCCCGGAGGAGGUCGGUCCAGCUCUGUCUCCUGCCGCCCUCCCGGAGGAGGUGGUCGGGUGGUCCUGGUCCCUGUGUUUUUUGGGCCAAUGUGUGCAGGUGCAGUUCCUGGUGGCCCGGUCCCGGCCACGCCCGUCUCCGCUCCUGGUGGUCUGGCGCCUACAGAACCUGCAUCGGUUCCUGGCGGCUCGGCCCCGGCCGCACCUGCAUCGGUUCCUGGCGGCUCGGCCCCGGCCGCACCUGCUUCGGGUCCAGGAUGAAGCCUUUAGUUGCAUUUUUUAUUUUGUGCAUUGUUGUAAAUGUGUAAAAAACAAAAGUAUUUUUGCGUCGGUUCCUGGUGGUCCGGCGCUGACCGCUUCGGUUCCUGGUGGUCCGGCGCUGACCGCUUCGGUUCCUGGUGGUCCGGCGCUGACCACGUCUCCACGCCUGUUCUGCUCCUUGGUGCCGGCAUUCCGCCGGCUGGUACCUUGUCGGCCUGAUGGGUGGCCUCGCCUUUGGCGCAUCCUGUGGCGAGGAUGGCGCUGCCUCCUGCGUCGUCGGCCACCUCGGCUGUCUAGUUCCGGGGGUGACUCCCUGCCCGGGGGUCGCCGUUUCCUGCGGUGGCGAUGGCGUUGCUUCUGCCGUGGCCGACCGCCGCGCCCCCUUGGCCUCCUGGAAGGGACAGUUUGGACCAUUGUGGGGUUUUGUUUUGUCCCUCCUCCUGAUGUCCUCCCUCCGCCCACCCUGCUUCGACGUCCGGCCGAGGGGGGGGAUUCGGGCCCUCCUCCUGCGAACUCCCUCCACCCGCCCUGGGCGGGGGGGCUCGUUGGCGUGGUGGAAGACGCCAUAGGGGGGGGGGUACUGUCAUGUUUCACGCCAUGUCUUGUUGUCACGCCACGUCCUGUUUUAUUUUGUUAAACUUCCUGUUUCAGUCAGCUGUUCACUUACCGGUUCCCAGUAUCCACACCUGUCUGUAAUCAAGUAAUCACCUACCAGUAUAUAGCAUCCACCUCGCACAGACUCAAGCUGCCAGAUUGUUAAGUCCCGAACUUCCUUCCAGCGAUUCAUGUAUAGCCUCUUGUGUUUUUGACCCUGAUUGCCUUGACCAUUGUUUCCUGCCUGAAUCUUGUCUGUACCGUCGCCUGCGAAAGAACCGUGACUGGACAACUGACCGUGAGUUUGCUUAACCCUUGCCUGUACCUUCACCGAGACCUCCUGUGUAACGUACCUUGCCUGUUUACUGGACUUGAGACUGCCUGCUCCCUUUUGUACUUCCCUACCAAGCGUUGUGUAUGACCUGGACCGUCUGACUCUGUUUUCUAAAAUAAAACCUGUGUUAAUCGUCA
rnacentral:lncRNA from 1 species